rnacentral:tRNA from 1 species
GGCCAUAGCUCAGUGGUAGAGCAUCUGCUUUGCAUGCAGAAGGUUACAGGUUCAACCCCCCAGCAUCU